rnacentral:lncRNA from 1 species
CUCGAGCCUGUCCUACUCAUUCUCCUUUUCCCGUUCCUGACCCUGAGUGUGGAGGGGUUAGCCUUGAGCCAGGUCUUGAUUUUUUAUUCCAUUUUGUCAGUUUAAGUACUGGAAUGGGAGUUACGGAUAUUCAUUCCUAAACUAUGUCACCGAUUGGUGACCUGAUCCCGCUAAGCAAGAACUGCUACCGACACCGACUCUAUCUUAACGACCGGUUUGCCCCUGGACAUUCCGCUAAGUCUAGUUGACAAGUUUCCUUUUUUCACUCUGUAAACAAAACAAGCCCUUAGUCAAGAGGUUAGUUACCCUCUUCGGUAUCGGCAGAGAAAGUAGAGAAGGACAGUGACACAAUAGCUCUAACAUAAGCAAGCUGUCAAGAGGGAGUCAAUAGCUGCCUAUUCUGCGGCGCUUAUUCCCACAGCAGACUCAAUAGCUGCGGUUACGGAUGCUAUUGCUAAGAGGGCAUUCGAGUCGAGUCAACUAUACGAUAGUGAAGUUCCUCGUUG